UACGUAGGGUGCGAGCGUUAAUCGGAAUUACUGGGCGUAAAGCGUGCGCAGGCGGUUAUUUAAGCCAGAUGUGAAAGCCCCGGGCUUAACCUGGGAAUGGCAUUUGGGACUGGAUAGCUGGAGUGCGGCAGAGGGAGGUGGAAUUCCAGGUGUAGCAGUGAAAUGCGUAGAGAUCUGGAGGAACACCGAUGGCGAAGGCAGCCUCCUGGGCCAGCACUGACGCUCAUGCACGAAAGCGUGGGGAGCAAACAGG
rnacentral:rRNA from 1 species